rnacentral:rRNA from 1 species
CCGCUCGUCACACCAUGGGAGUUGGUUUCACCCGAAGGCAGUGCGCUAACCGCAAGGAGGCAGCUGACCACGGUGGGAUCAGCGACUGGGGUG